rnacentral:tRNA from 1 species
UGAGAAAUAGUUUAUAUUUUUUAGAACAUUCGACUGUUAAUCGAUAGGAUAAUAUCUCAG